UACGGGAGGCAGCAGUAGGGAAUAUUGGGCAAUGGGCGAAAGCCUGACCCAGCAACGCCGCGUGAGUGAAGAAGGUCUUCGGAUCGUAAAGCUCUGUCGAAGGGGACGAACGUGGGUUCUAUCAACAACGGAACCUAAUGACGGUACCUUUCAAGAAAGCCACGGCUAACUACGUGCCAGCAGCCGCGGUAAU
rnacentral:rRNA from 1 species